GUUUGAGUGCGUGUGAGUGCACUCGCCACCGGAAGGCUGAGCGGGCAGAGGCCGCAGGCCAAGAGCACGCUCCGGGAGAGGCCGGGCGCCUCCCCGCGGCCUCGGCGCACGUGCCUGGGCUGGGGCCAGGGCGAGUGGCCGCGCCGUAGUAGCUGGGGCGGGUGGGAGCGGCUGGCUCCGGGCCGCGGCCGCCGCCCGCCCGCCGGCUCCGGUGGUUGGGCGGAGGAAGCGCGGGACUCCUCCUCCCCACCGUAUUAACAUGCACCCAGGGGCGGGUGACCAGCCCAGCCUCGCCGCCCCAGCUCGCCGCGUCCCGGCGCUCAGCCUCCGCGCCAGAGGCGAGCGCUGCGCUCCGGGCGCCGCAAUCCCGAGGACACGGCCUCUCCGACACCUCCGGCCCGGCGAAGUCGGCGGCAGCAUCGGCGGGAGCGGUCGCAGCCGCCUCUGCUCCUCUCUCCGUUGCUUCCCGUCACCUCGCUGAGACCCUGUCCGGGCCGCGGGGACACCCUUUUUCGUCCUCCCCCCGAGGCUCGUGGGACCGACGGACGGACGCAGGGAUCCAGGGCCGGACUGCGGGCAGCGGCAAGGACUUUGUGAAUGGUGCUUUGGAUGCACCUUCAGUGGUCAUUGCUCAUCCCUCUUCCCGGUACACUUUCUGGAAGGGACCGGCACACAUCCAGUUAACUCACGUCAAUGGGGUUGUGGAACAGAUCACGCUCAUCUCACUGAGAUCAGAACAGCUGAGCAUUACCUACCACGAAUAACAUCAAGUCAAAAACUGCAAAGUUGGGAUCUUUUCCUGCCUUAGAAGCAAGAAAAAUGGAAAACUGAUCGUCAAAG
rnacentral:lncRNA from 1 species